AUUGAACGCUGGCGGCAUGCCUUACACAUGCAAGUCGAACGGCAGCACGGGAGCAAUCCUGGUGGCGAGUGGCGAACGGGUGAGUAAUAUAUCGGAACGUGCCCAGUCGUGGGGAUAACGUAGCGAAAGCUACGCUAAUACCGCAUACUAUCUAUGGAUGAAAGCGGGGGAUCGCAAGACCUCGCGCGAUUGGAGCGGCCGAUAUCAGAUUAGGUAGUUGGUGAGGUAAAGGCUCACCAAGCCGACGAUCUGUAGCUGGUCUGAGAGGACGACCAGCCACACUGGGACUGAGACACGGCCCAGACUCCUACGGGAGGCAGCAGUGGGGGAAUUUUUGGACAAUGAGCGCAAGCCUGAUCCAGCAAUGCCGCGUGCAGGAUGAA
rnacentral:rRNA from 1 species